rnacentral:rRNA from 1 species
GGGGAAUCUUCCGCAAUGGGCGAAAGCCUGACGGAGCAAGACCGCGUGAGGGAAGAAGGCUCUUGGGUUGUAAACCUCUUUUGUCAGGGAAGAACACAAUGACGGUACCUGACGAAUCAGCCUCGGCUAACUCCGUGCCAGCAGCCGCGGUAAUACGGAGGAGGCAAGCGUUAUCCGGAAUUAUUGGGCGUAAAGCGUCCGUAGAUGGUUUUGUAAGUCGGCUGUCAAAGCACAGGGCUUAACCCUGUAAAGGCAGUGGAAACUACAAAACUUGAGUGCAGUAGGGGCAGAGGGAAUUCCCAGAGUAGCGGUGAAAUGCGUAGAGAUUGGGAAGAACACCCGUGGCGAAAGCGCUCUGCUGGACUGCAACUGACAUUGAGGGACGAAAGCUAGGGGAGCGAAAGGGAUUAGAUACCCCUG